UCUGGGAUGUGAGGAGCGCCUCUGCCCGGCCGAGACCCCGUCUGGGAGGUGAGGAGCGUCUCUGCCCGGCCGCCACGUCUGAGAAGUGAGGAGACCCUCUGCCUGGCAACCACCCCGUCUGAGAAGUGAGGAGCCCCUCCGCCCGGCAGCUGCCCCGUCUGAGAAGUGAGGAGCCUCUCCGCCCGGCAGCCACCCAAUCUGGGAAGUGAGGAGCGUCUCCGCCCGGCAGCCACCCCAUCCGGGAGGGAGGUGGGGGGUCAGCCCCCCCGCCCGGCCAGCCGUGCCGUCCGGGAGGGAGGUGGGGGGGUCAGCCCCCCGCCCGGCCAGCCGCCCCGUCCGGGAGGUGAGGGGCGCCUCUGCCCGGCCGCCCCUACUGGGAAGUGAGGAGCCCCUCAGCCUGGCCAGCCACCCCGUCCGGGAGGGAGAUGGGGGGGUCAGCCCCCCCACCCGGCCAGCCGCCCCGUCCGGGAGGGAGGUGGGGGGGUCAGCCCCCCGCCUGGCCAGCCGCCCCGUCCGGGAGGGAGGUGGGGGGGUCAGCCCUCCGCCCGGCCAGCCGCCCCGUCUGGGAGGUGAGGGGCGCCUCUGCCCGGCCGCCCCUACUGGGAAGUGAGGAGCCCCUCUGCCCGGCCAGCCGCCCGGUCCGGGAGGGAGGUUGGGGGGUCAGCCCCCCGCCCAGCCAGCCGCCCUGUCCGGGAGGGAGGUGGGGGGGUCAGCCCCCCCGCCCGGCCAGCCGCCCCGUCCGGGAGGUGAGGGGCGCCUCUGCCCCGCCGCCCCUACUGGGAAGUGAGGAGCCCCUCUGCCCGGCC
rnacentral:lncRNA from 1 species